rnacentral:rRNA from 1 species
UACGUAGGCAGCGAGCGUUGUUCGGAGUUACUGGGCGUAAAGAGUGCGUAGGUGGCUCUCUAAGUUUGGUGUGAAAUCUCCCGGCUCAACUGGGAGGGUGCGCCGAAAACUGGAGGACUAGAGUGUGGGAGAGGAAAGCGGAAUUCCUGGUGUAGCGGUGAAAUGCGUAGAUAGUCAGGAGGAACACCCGGUGGCGAAGGCGGCGUCCUGGACCGAACACAUGACAGCUGAGGAGCGGAAAGCCAGGGGAGCAAACGGG